AGCGAACGCUGGCGGCGUGCCUAACACAUGCAAGUCGAGCGAGAAAGGGGUGGCAACACCCUGAGUAAAGCGGCGAACGGGUGAGUAACGCGUGGGCAAUCUACCUUCCAGUCUGGGAUAACCUUCCGAAAGGAGGGCUAAUACCGGAUGAUGUCCUGUUGGGGCAUCCUGAGGGGAGCAAAGGGGCGACCCGCAAGGGCGUCUCGCUGGAGGAGGAGCCUGCGUCCGAUUAGCAGUUGGGUGGGGUAACGGGCUCACCAAGGCGACGAUCGGUAGCCGGCCUGA
rnacentral:rRNA from 1 species